rnacentral:rRNA from 1 species
GCGGGAAGAGCUCAAAUUUGAAAUCUGGUGGCCUCAGGUCAUCCGAGUUGUAAUCUAUAGAAGUGUUUUCCGUGCUGGCUCAUGUACAAGUCCCUUGGAACAGGGCGUCAUAGAGGGUGAGAAUCCCGUCCUUGACAUGAACUACCAGUGCUCUGUGAUACAUUUUCAACGAGUCGAGUUGUUUGGGAAUGCAGCUCAAAAUGGGUGGUAAAUUCCAUCUAAAGCUAAAUAUUGGCGAGAGACCGAUAGCGAACAAGUACCGUGAGGGAAAGAUGAAAAGCACUUUGGAAAGAGAGUUAAACAGUAUGUGAAAUUGUUAAAAGGGAAACGAUUGAAGUCAGUCGUGCUCUUUGGAUUCAGCCGGUUCUGCCGGUGUACUUCCUUUGAGUGGGGUCAACAUCAGUUUUGAUCGCUGGAUAAAGGCUGGAGGAACGUAGCACCCUCGGGUGAACUUAUAGCCUCCUGUCACAUACAGUGGUUGGGACUGAGGAACGCAGCACGCCUUUAUGGCCGGGAUUCGUCCACGUACGUGCUUAGGAUGUUGACAUAAUGGCUUUAAACGACCCGUCUU